rnacentral:misc_RNA from 1 species
CAACCCUCAAGCGCGGCUUGUGUGAUGGGCGCGCGUCCCCCCCGAACUGGGCGGGACGGGCCCGAAAGGCAGUGGCGGCGUCGCGGUCAUCCUCGAUCGCCCGAGUGCAUGGGGCUCAGUCACGCACGACGGCGAGGACCGGCGCCGGCCGAACCCCGCGACACCCCGUGUGUCGCUCUUCGAC